AGCGGGUCGAGCAGUCGCGGGCAUAAGCCGAAAGGCUGUGCGUGAGGAAAGUCCGGGCUCCGCAGGGCAAGGAUAACGGGUAACACCCGCCAGGGGCGACCCUCGGACAAGUGCAACAGAAAGAAACCGCUCUGCUGCGAGCAAUCGCCGCGGAGUAAGGGUGGAAACGUGCGGUAAGAGCGCACGCGUCGGCUGGAGACAGUUCGAUGCUGUAAACUCUAUCCGGAGCAACACCGUGGAGGAACACAAGGUCUGCCCGACCGUUCCGAGGAGGUGGCUUGAGUGCAUCGGCAACGGUGCGCCUAGAUAGAUGACUGCUGAUUACAGAACCCGGCUUACAGACCCGCUCCA
rnacentral:RNase_P_RNA from 1 species